ACUCCAUGAUGAGGGCACUUCCUUAGGUACUCGUUGAACCGUUCCCAAGCUUCAUAGAGGCUCUCCAAGUCUUGUUGAGCAAAUGUGGUAAUAGCCAUGCGAAGCUU